rnacentral:rRNA from 1 species
AUACGUAGGUGGCGAGCGCUGUCCGGAAUUACUGGGCGUAAAGGGUGCGUAGGCGGAUAAUCAAGUCAGAUGUGAAAGUCCAUGGCUUAACUGUGGGAGUGCAUUUGAGACUGAAGAUCUAGAGUGCAGGAGAGGGAAGCGGAAUUCCUAGUGUAGCGGUGAAAUGCGUAGAUAUUAGGAAGAACACCAGUGGCGAAGGCGGCUUUCUGGACUGUAACUGACGCUGAAGCACGAAAGCGUGGGGAGCAAACAGGAUUAGAUACCCUGGUAGUCCACGCCGUAAACGAUGAGUAUUAGGUGUAGGGGACGAUAGUCUUCUGUGCCGGAGCAAACGCAAUAAGUAUUCCGCCUGGGGAGUACGGUCGCAAGAUUAAA